ACGGUUCUUAGCGGGCCAAGGACUGGAAAUGAACACUGGCGGGGUUAUCAGUGCCGAUCUGUCAGCAGCAAGUCGCGCACUGCUUGUCCCAGGCAGCAGCAGUGAUAUACGUCUUAUUCCUUUGAGCUCACAAAAGGGAUUUCUUUCGACAAGCUGGACAUUGGAAGAAGGCUGCGAGAAGGGAAUUGAACAUGAGAAACACUCUUGUGGGAGUGGAUUCUUACAGGAACACCCCAGUCACUGUGGCUUCAGCGUGGCUGCAUUUAUGAAAGGCUGGAAGUAGAAAACUCUGGAAUGGAGAGACUAGCAGCUGGAACAGGAUUCAAAGGCUUUAAAUUUUAACCCGAGUUCGAUCGAAAGUUACUACCACAAGAGACUGGCACGGGCCGGCCCAAUUCCCACCACGGCUUCCAGCGGCUUGCUUUGGGUUGUCCGCUUGUUAUCAGGGCCACCCAAUGACCGACGAAAGAUUUUCCCUCCCCACCUCUCCCAUCGCCGCUUUAAACCAAAUAAAUUUAGCUAUUAAGGGCCAAGAUGUCUGAAAAAAGAUCGAAAGGUGUCUCUCUGGGAUCCCUUAGAGAAGCGGAGAAGCUAGCGGCUCUUGGCUCUCGAAUCCCGAUAAAGAAAUUCCCCGCCGGCGCCAGCCUCCCUCCUCAGCCUGCUUGCGUUCUUGGGAUCACCACCUCAAAGGUCCGUUGCGACCUGUGACUGCAACUGAGGCAUUGUCUCCGGGUCUCCUGGCCUGGGGAUGCUCAGGCAUUGGAACUAACCCUAACUCAGAAGCUGUAGGACCUAAAACAUUCCUGCCAGGCUUGCAGAAGAACCAAGGUCAAUGAAACAAACUCAAGUUCCAUUUAAAUUUGCCCCUGUUCCCCCUGUCUUCUACAAAGCCUUCUAUUAUAUAUGACAAGCUGGCCUGGAGCUCAAGAUCCUUACCGCCUGUAGAGUAUAGGAAUUACAAAUGUUGUAGCCUUGUCCUACUGUUUUGGGUUUAUUUAUUUAUUUAUUUCUCUAAUAUUAAUAAAGACAAAACCAAAUCAUA
rnacentral:lncRNA from 1 species